AUGCUCCUCCAAGGUGUAGUGGAUAGCAUACUUAUCACCUAUUGCAAGGGAGUAGGGAAGCCCAGAGGGGAGUAUCUCCACAUUGUCCACAGCUUUGGACAGAAAGCAGAAGCCAUGCUCUUCUCCCAAAGUAAGCUUAUACGUAACUCCUGUCUGGGUUCCCACCCAUUUGACUGGGUCUGUUUGUCAUUUUGGGGAGCUUUAGCACUUUCCCCAGUGAAUCAAAGUGACCCAGGUGUUUGCAAGCACUGAGUGGGGUGAUAUGAUCUCAGUGAUUCCAGUGAGGCUAAAGACCUGGCUACGGGUAACUGUCUAGGAGUGUGCACACAGUUAAGCAUCCAAGUCAGGGAACAGCCCAGUCAGCAUCCAGAGGUCUAUAAACCCCUGCUUUUUAUUAAGGGGAUGCUGAUAAGAAACUGGACCAGAAUAAAGCAAAGUUUAGGAGGCCUGGAAUUUCAUUUCUGCAAUGUUCUUUAAAACCAGGUUCUGUCAAAGAUCUGAAGUUGAAAAUACCUCAUGUGUCUUAUGGAGAGGCAUGGUGGUUGCACUGAUACUAUUCUAUGGUCAUUCCCAGCAGAAACCCAUCCAUAGUUAUGUGACUAGGCCCUGUGAU
rnacentral:lncRNA from 1 species